UACAGAGGGGGCAAGCGUUGUUCGGAAUUACGUGGCGUAAAGGGCGCGUAGGCGGCCUGUUAAGUCGAACGUGAAAUCCCCGGGCUCAACCCGGGAACUGCGUCCGAUACUGGCAGGCUUGAAUCCGGGAGAGGGAUGCGGAAUUCCAGGUGUAGCGGUGAAAUGCGUAGAUAUCUGGAGGAACACCGGUGGCGAAGGCGGCAUCCUGGACCGGCAUUGACGCUGAGGCGCGAAAGCUGGGGGGAGCGAAACGGGG
rnacentral:rRNA from 1 species